GAUCUCCCAAUCGCAAGAUUCUAAAGGUCCGUGGUAGACCACCACGUUGAUAGGCUGGCGGUGUAAGUGCAGUAAUGCAUUCAGCUUACCAGUACUAAUAGACCGUGUGCCUUGACCUC
rnacentral:rRNA from 1 species